rnacentral:rRNA from 1 species
GAUGAACGCUGGCGGCGUGCCUAAUACAUGCAAGUCGAGCGAACGGACGAGAAGCUUGCUUUUCUGAUGUUAGCGGCGGGCGGGUGAGUAACACGUGGAUAACCUACCUAUAAGACUGGGAUAACUUCGGGAAACCGGAGCUAAUACCGGAUAAUAUUUUGAACCGCAUGGUUCAAAAGUGAAAGACGGUCUUGCUGUCACUUAUAGAUGGAUCCGCGCUGCAUUAGCGAGUUGGUAAGGUAACGGCUUACCAAGGCAACGAUGCAUAGCCGACUCGAGAGGGUGGUCGGCCACACUGGAACUGAGACACCGUCCAGACUCCUACGGGAGGCCGCCGUAGGGAAUCUUCGGCAAUGGGCGAAAGCCUUACGGAGCACCGCCGCGUGAGUGAUGAAGGUCUUCGGAUCGUAAAACUCUGUUAUUAGGGAAGAACAUAUGUGUAAGUAACUGUGCACAGCUUGACGGUACCUAAUCAGAAAGCCACGGCUAACUACAUG